rnacentral:rRNA from 1 species
GAUGAACGCUAGCUACAGGCUUAACACAUGCAAGUCGAGGGGAAACGAUAGAGAAAGCUUGCUUUUUCUAGGCGUCGACCGGCGCACGGGUGAGUAACGCGUAUCCAACCUGCCCACCACUUGGGGAUAACCUUGCGAAAGUAAGACUAAUACCCAAUGACGUCUCUAGAAGACAUCUGAAAGAGAUUAAAGAUUUAUCGGUGAUGGAUGGGGAUGCGUCUGAUUAGCUUGUUGGCGGGGUAACGGCCCACCAAGGCGACGAUCAGUAGGGGUUCUGAGAGGAAGGUCCCCCACAUUGGAACUGAGACACGGUCCAAACUCCUACGGGAGGCAGCAGUGAGGAAUAUUGGUCAAUGGACGAGAGUCUGAACCAGCCAAGUAGCGUGCAGGAUGACGGCCCUAUGGGUUGUAAACUGCUUUUAUAAGGGAAUAAAGUGGGAGUCGUGACUCUUUUUGCAUGUACCUUAUGAAUAAGGACCGGCUAAUUCCGUGCCAGCAGCCGC